GUGUCCUAAAUCAGGAGAGAGCCUCUAACUCAUUUUCAUCCUAUCCCCCUCACUGUUAAUAUCUAAGGCCACCGAAGGUGGAAACCUAUUCAUCUUUCAGGAUUACGCUCUGCCAGGGAGGAGGGGUGAAGUGGUCUAAGCACCCACGUACUGACUCUGGGAGGCAGCAACAGUGGCGGAUCCCAAGACUGCUGUUGUUGCUGCAAACCGGUCUCUCUUCCUUGCAGGGUGUGCAGAGAUGGAGAAAGGGGGAGGAGAAAAAAGGGGAAGCGCCUGGGCCUUGGCCGCCAGCGGGCGGGGCCUCCAGUGCCUAACAGCUAGUUUGGUCUUUCUGCGGCUCUCGCGCACUGCGCUCGGGCAGCCGUAGCCGCAGCCGCAGUCGGAGCCGGAGCCUUCAGCCUCAGCUUCAGCCUCAGCCUCCGACUCCUGGGCGAUGUCAGUUGUUUCACGCUUCCUCUAACCCUCUGCACUAGGAGGAGGAGGUGGAGAAAGAAAUACAAGAGGAAAGGACUACGUUACAAGAGACUUUAUUGCCUUAGGAAGAGAGGUGCAUGGUAUUUGCUGCUCAGCUUCAAAACCAGGCAAUUGGUGGCUCUUCUCUGGCCCCAGUGACCAACUGGGAAAGGAAGGAAAAAGAACUGGAGACGCGCGCCCCCCCCCCCCCCCCCCACUCCCUCCAUACACGCACGCACGCACACACACACAGUUUUAAGAGAGUUUGCACAGAGAGCUGAAAAGCUUCAGCCCUUCACUCCCAGUUCCAGCCCCAGCUGUUCUGAGGCUCCGGUCGGCGUUGCUAUCCGCCUUCUCACCUCUUCUCGACUUCCUCCAGUCCCGGCCAGCCUGCAGCUCGUCAGCUUCUCCUCUCUCUACUUCCUCUUAUCAGUCCAGCUGCUUCUCAGUCCAAGAGGAGCCACCACCGCAGCAGCAGCAGCAGCAACAACAACAGCAACAUCCCCGGAACUAACAGACUGUGGCGCAACUGGUCUGGGGAGCGCAGGCCCUGAGAUCCUACCCCAAGGAACUAGAAAGGGAAAACGUAAAUAAGUGCACUAAUGAUUAGGCUACCUGCUACUAGGAGCUCCAGAUGACUUGACAUAAACUCCUCAAAGGUGAGGAAAAAUUUGUCUCACAUUUUUUAUAAAUUCUAGAAGCAUCUUUAUUAAGACAAGUUGGUUUGGUAAAUGUGUGAUUUGGUACCAUUGCCAAGUUCUUUCCACUCUA
rnacentral:lncRNA from 1 species